rnacentral:tRNA from 1 species
AGAGAAGUAAGCUAAAUAAAGCUAAUGGGUUCAUACCCCAUUUAUAGAGUUGAUCUCUCUUCUCUA